rnacentral:misc_RNA from 1 species
GAUGAAGAACGCAGCGAAAUGCGAUACGUAAUGUGAAUUGCAGAAUUCAGUGAAUCAUCGAAUCUUUGAACGCAUAUUGCGCUCUCUGGUAUUCCGGAGAGCAUGCUUGUUUGAGUAUCAGUAAACACCUCAACUUCCAUAUCUUUUUUGAAAUGGGAGUUGGACUUGAGUGAUCCUAACGCUUUUCCUCACCGAAAAGUGGCGGGUUACUUGAAAUGCAGGUGCAGCUGGACUUUUCUCUGAGCUAUAAGCAUAUCUAUUUAGUCUGCCUAAAAACAGAUUAUUACCUUUGCUGCAGCUAACAUAAAGGAGAUUAGUUCUUGUGCUGACUGAUGCAGGAUUCACAAAGACAGGCUUCGGCCGACUUUGUAAACUCGAUCUCAAAUCAAGUAAGACUACCCGCUGAACUUAAGCAUAUCAAUAAGCGGAGGA